AACGCACCUUGCGCUCCCUGGUAUUCCGGGGAGCACACCUGUUCGAGUGUCGUGAAUACCUCAAGCUGGAUGCUUUAUUGCUAUCUGUUGCUUGGAUUUGGACUUUGCCGUCGGCCUUUACUGGUGACGGCUCGUCUUAAAUGCAUUAGCUGACCCAUGUUGUAUGUUCGGUUCUACUCAGCGUGAUAAUUAUCUGACCGCUGAGGACAUUUGCCUUGUGCAGAUGGCCAGAUGUGCCUUGGAUUGCUUCUAAUCUGUACGCCUUCACGGGCGACGACCAUUUUCAAUUUUGACCUCGAAUCAGGUGGGACUACCCGCUGAACUUAA
rnacentral:misc_RNA from 2 species